AUUGAACGCUGGCGGCAGGCCUAACACAUGCAAGUCGAACGAGUGGCGGACGGGUGAGUAAUGUCUGGGAAACUGCCUGAUGGAGGGGGAUAACUACUGGAAACGGUAGCUAAUACCGCAUACCAUCAGAUGUGCCCAGCUGGGAGUAGCUAGUUGGUGGGGUAACGGCUCACCAAGGCGACGAUCCCUAGCUGGUCUGAGAGGAUGACCCGCAAAACUGGAACUGAGACACGGUCCAGACUCCGACGGGAGGCAGCAGUGGGGAAUAUUGCACAAUGGGCGCAAGCCUGAUGCAGCCAUGCCGCGUGUAUGAAGAAGGCCUUCGGGUUGUAAAGUACGUUCAGCGGGGAGGCGUUACCCGCAGAAGAAGCACCGGCUAACUCCGUGCCAGCAGCCGCGGUAAUUC
rnacentral:rRNA from 1 species